rnacentral:pre_miRNA from 1 species
CAUCACCAUACGCUGGCCAGCCCAGAGGCUGGGCUGGGUGACUUAUCUCUUUGAAAGGCUCACUCUCAAGCCCUACUAGGGAA